rnacentral:rRNA from 1 species
GUCUACGGCCGUGCCACCCUGAACAAGCAGGAUCUUGUCUGAUCUCAGAAGCUAAGAAGGCUCGGGCCUGGUUAGUACUUGGAUGGGAGACCACCUAGGAAGACCAGGUGUUGUAGGUG